rnacentral:lncRNA from 1 species
UCUGCCUCUCAAAACCCACCACCACUUCCACCAUCGUAUUAUUAAAUUCUCAGAAUGACCCUAAGUUCCUUGACAUUCUCAUCUAAUUCCCUGCAUCUCUCUCUAUCCACUUAUCGGUGGCGACUAGUUGCUACGUGGCAGCGCUUGGUUUUUGAGAACUCGCGAUGAGCAGCGGACUGGCUCUUGAUCUGAGAGCAACGUCAAGCAGGAUUUUUUUUAUUUUCGAUGAGGUGCGGGGUUGCGGUGGUGUUCUAGUUUGGAUCUGAUUUGAGCAUAACCACACACACAGUGCAUUCUGGUUCUAAUCAUGGGGUUUGUGGAUUU